ACAGACAGAGGUGGGGCUUUAGAUUUCCAGGGCUUAGGAGGGGAGAGAGGGAGAGAGGAUCCGCCAUGCUUGACAGUGUGUGGGCAGAGGAGAGACUCAGAAGCUGUGAUAGGGUAGAAAAGCAAGGAGAGUGCCCCGGGCUCUGGACUAAGAAACCGCCCCAGAGGGCAUCAGGAGUGGGUCUGGAGCGGCCAUGAUGGAAUAUAGAGCCAGUAAGUAAUAACUUGGGAUUAACAGCAUGGAGGUUCGGCAGUUACAGCUAUUGUGCUGUUUAAGGCGUAUUAAAAUAUAGAGGCUGUGUGUGUGUCUUUAAUUCAGGAACAUAAACCAUUGAGGCGGGUAGCAAACCCGCCGCCGGGAUUUAUUAAUUAUUUAAUUAUUUUAACACUGUGCCCCUAAAUUCCGUGGCAAGCCCCACCUCCCCGUUGACAAGGAAUAUUUCCAUGAGACUGUGGCAGAAAAUGCUCGAGGAGACUCAACCAGAAGCCAAAGAAAUCCCAGCUCUGGAGAGGUGCCCCCGCAGUGGAGAAAACUGCAUGUACCGAUCCAGUCAUCUGCAAAUUCAUGUGAUGGGGGCAGGGGAGGGACCAAGUCCUGGCCAGAUCCCUGCUGGCCUGCACUCCAGGAGCUUCUGCAGAGGUUGAAGCAGCCACUGGCCAUGAACCCACACCAUCACCCACCAGGCACCCAAGAACUGUGACCCUGCAAUUGGACCCGUACUAUCCUCCCAGGGACCAUUUCCUUCCCGCCACCGUGACCCGAGCUGAUGGAUGCCUGCUUCCUGCCCCUGUGGAAGAUGAGGGAGUGAUCCUGAGAGAGAAUAAGCACCAGUGGAUUCUGACACCAGAGAUGCUGUGACCUGAGCCAUUGGAUAUGUUUCCUGACUUGCACUGAAUCCCAUGCCUCACCUGCUUAUAGAGAAGGAAGGAUCUUGGAGAUUUCCUUCAGAACACCACAGGUUCAGGGUUCUCUCCCUGGGCUUCUGGUCUAGCUUCGGAUGCUGGUAAAGGAAGACGUUUUGGUUACAGGAAGGUUUAGAAAAGUCCUCAAGCUCCACAAGCUGCUGAGAUGGUACAGCAGGUAAAGGUGCUUACCCAGGGGUUGGGAGUUUAGCUCAGUGGUCGAGUGCUUGCCUAGUAAGCGCAAGGCCCUGGGUUCGGUCCCCAGCUCCGGAAAAAAAGAAAAAAAAAAAAGGUGCUUACCCAACUCAGCCAAGGUUACUAGGAACAGCCUGCUGUGAAUGUUGUUCUGUGCGGACCUGUGUCAACACUGGUCCUGGGUAAAUACUUAAGUGUGGAAUUUGUGUGUCCCAGGGCCAUCCCACGGUAAACGUCAUGAGAAACUGUGCAUCUCUUAGGACUGUAGCUUGACUGCUUGUAUCGUGUCUGGAGGAUUUGGAGAACAAAUACAAGGAGCACAAGCCCAUGGGAGCUUCCUGUCUUCCCCAGCUGCCCCUCUGCUUCUGGGAGAGGAGGGAGAGGUCACAGCAUCAGCCCCUGAGACUGGAGGAUGUGGUGCAGGGGUGUCUGCUGCCAAGUUUAAUGCAGGCUGGGCAGUGAAUCGUAGUUUAGUGACUGCAGCCCCAGUAAAGGACACACACACACACACACACACACACACACACACACACACACACACACAUUGCACUGACGUAAAUGAUGUAAACUGUUUGAAAUAAUCAUGAUACUCCUUAUUAUCUGUGCCACAAACCUAACUGAUUUUUGCAAGAUAUUUUCCUAGGCUCUGCCCCCUUCUCCCACAAUAGCUACAAUCAACUUGAAUGCAAACCUCCUUGAAUGUUGGCAGCUAACUUUGUUUAUAUGGGAGGGUAAAGCAACAGUGCGACCAUGAGGACAUCAUUUCACAGCUUCACACAUCAGCCAGUGGCUCGUGCCUGUAACUGUGAGAAACAUGUUGUAUUUCAUAGCCAGCUUGGGAAAAUCCUGGAUAUGUUACGUGUAGCUUCAGGAAGGUAUGGACCAGAUCCGCCCAGCAGUGACUUGGAGAGGACCUUCAUCCUGCCUGUGCCCAGUUAGGCUGGAGGAAAUGGAAGUCGAGGGCUGUAAUGGAGACCUCUCUCUAUCUCCCUGUGCCUGCUGUAGCUGGGACCACAUACCACUGGGGCAUCCGAUCUCAGCAGAACAGCAGCACACAGUGACCAAAGCCAUGAGACCCAGAGCUGCACUUUCUGAGCCUCAAGACCGGUUGGUGUGGUGAUAAAGUCGAAGUAUGUUUAUGCGUGGUAAGCAGUUGCCUUUCUGUUGCUGAGACAAGACACCAUGACCAAGGCAACUUUCAGAAGAGUUUACUCUAGCUCAUGGUUCCGGAGGCUUAGAAUCCAUGGCAGUGUAGACACCACAGCAGGACGCAGCAGGCUGGGUAGCAGGAGCAGGAUGCUGAGAACAGCUUGACCUGCAGAAGCAGAGGGAGAACCGGAAGUAAAGGCUCUUCAUCUCGAAUCCGUCCCCACGUGACAUGCUUCCUCUAGCAAGGCCACACCUCCUAUGUCCCCCAAAACAGUGCCACCAACCGGGGGCCAAGUGUUCAAGUAGCUGAGACUGUGGGGUACACUCUCAUUUAACUCAGCACAGGUAUAUGCACGGAUGCACAUUUGUAAUUAAAACAGAGAUGAUCCUUAGUGUGGCUAGCAAUUACGCUGCGUGUAUUAGCUCCUAUAGCUCCAAUUGCAGCCUGUUUCCUGCCCCCAAGAGUGAGGCCUGAGAGGUCGGAUGCCUUGUCCUCUGCCUAUAUCCCAGGCACGGUACAUAGAGCUUAAUAUCCAACAAACGUGUUGAAUUAAAUGGAGCUACAAGUAAAUACCGAGGGCUAUCGGCAUGAUUAAACGGGAAUGUGUGCUCGCUCACAGAUCACCUGGUUAUCAUAUCAUUAAUUAUUGCAAUAAAUAAUUUUAACACUUUGUUGAAAUACAGUUCGCGUAGCAUUUCUUGAAAUAAAAUUCACCCAUUUAAAGCCUG
rnacentral:sRNA from 1 species